rnacentral:lncRNA from 1 species
UGGAAUCAUCUUUGACACAUAGAGCAUAAGAGGACCUUCAGGGUCACAGGCCCUAAUAGAUGCAGCAUAUUGAUCAUCAAGAGGACCCUCGUACAAGUUUUCCACACGAUACUUCUGAGCAGUUGAUGGAGAGGGAAGAUGAAAGAUCAUCAUUUCCAAUAGAGCAGUACUUGCUGGAAGCCAGGUUUGCAUGACACGCUUCAUCAAUGCUUUACCCAUGAGGUCCUUCUCAUCAGAUUUCAUGGUGACUCCAAGUUUUUGCAGCAUAGGCCACAGCUUAUCCUUCUGGUCAUUCAUGCAUGUGUUAAUGAUCUGCUUGAUGGGUUCAUAGCAGAACUGAACAAACCCACGCUUGCAAGUGGCAGAUCCAGUGUUCUUGCUGGUCCAUUUCUUUGUGGCUGGAUCAAAGAAGUUUUCACCCCAGAGCCUCUCCAUCAUCUUUGAUUCAUCAACUCCAAACUUAGAGGCAUACAUCUUAGCAAAGUUUGUCAGGGUAAAAGCCC